CUCGUCCAAUCCAGACAGAGGAUAUACCAAACCAACCGGAAUCAACGUUAAAUAUAGCAUGCCGAACAGUUGCUUUUUCUUGUCAUUGUAUACUCUGCAAUUACAGUAAAAGUGCAGACAUCAGGAAGCUGAGCAAAUCUAGGCUCGAGUUAAGGUGUGGUUUGUGAAGAUGGAGGGAGAGCAUCCUCAUGAGGAGAAGCAGACUGAAACUGCUUGCUGUGCAUCCCAAUGUCCCAAAGAUGGAGAGGAGAGGCAGGGACAAGGGGCUAUGUUAUGGUCCAUCCAGGAGGCAGUGGAGAGGCAGACCAUGCAGAUGAUUCGUGAGGAAGACCAUGAUGAUGAAGAUCAGUUUAGGAUGAGCCAUGUCAUGAUCCCCGCAGCGUACAGUUCAGGUGUGACAGUCUUCGCCCUCAGAGAUUCAGACCAAGGACAGGAGCUUCUCCACGCCCCUGAACUCCCUUUGCUUUGAUAUGGCUGGACAGUGGACACAUCAUUACCAAAGAUCUUGCGGUGAUUGGACAAUGCAUCUUUGACCUUCCCACUAUUGUUACAUUUAUUCGGUGAGGGGAAAUGUUCAGAAACUGGUGAUAGAAAUGUCAUUAAUAGAGCUGACAUGGUUCCUUAUUCUACAGGUAAGAGAGGCUUGGCUGUUCUACAUAAUAUAUUUCUAUCUGAACAUCCCACAAUGUUGCACCCUGCUGAAUGUGCCCCAGGCGUAUUCAGUGAGGUGAAACACUCAAAAACUGAUAUAAACUAUAGAAUUGAUAGAGCUGACUCAAUUUCCUAUUCAGACAACUCAUGAUUCUGAUAUGUCUAUCUAUAAUAUUGGCCAGUCAUGUUGUACACAAUACAUUUUUAUCUGAACGUUCAGUAACGUCACUCCGACCUGAACGAGGCCCUGCUGCUGUACAGUAGGAUAUCCGUCCCUGACAGUAAUACCUUGUUUGAACACUUUUCUGGGUCGUAUUCACUGACAUCAAGCAGAAGAAAAUUAACCGAAACAGGAAGUGACUCCCUGAACUUACCCAAUAAGAAACAUUCAUUUUCCUUUUCCAUUAAAUAACGUUUUGCUACAGUAUGCACUAAUGAAUACGACCCUGAUCUUAUGUGUGUGACGUUAAGAAUAGCCUACUUGAUGUAUGCCCCUGCACCAGUGGAGGCUGCUGAGUGGAGAACGGCCCGUAAUAAUAGCUGGAACUGCGCAAAUAGAAUGGCAUCAAACACAUAGAAACCAUGUGUUUGAUGUAUUUCAUACUAUUCCACUAAUUCCGCUCCAGUCAUUACCAAGGGCCCGUCCCCCCCAAUUAAGGUGCAACCACCCCCUGUGCCCUGCACAUUGAAAUGGUUGCACAGUUUGAAACCCUUUCUACUGCAGCAGGACAAUCAACCCUAAUGCGCCACUCUGUGCAAUACCAGAUAAGCUAAAUCAUGUGGCACUGGAAUGUAAAUGUGAUGUUGUGCUCAUCUACACAGAUACAGAUUAGGUAUAUAUCUGAGUGUGCUCAUGAUUUGCAGUUUUCUGUGGUCAAGAUUUUUGGCUACAACUUAUUUGGCCAGUUUCCCAGACACAGAUUAAGCCUGGUCCUUGACUAAGAAUGAUGUUCAAUGGAGAUUCUCCAUUAACAGUAGCAGUUGAGUCCAGGACUAGGCUUGAUCUGUGUCCAGGAAACCAACCAAAUAUGAAAUUAUGUUUAAAUCAAUCAAUGUGUAUCUGUUGUCGUUCCAGGUUGUGAUGUUUGUCAUGUUAACUCCCUUUUAUUUGUAAGCUAUCAAAAUACAUAAAGAGGGUCGCACGAUCUACAUAUAAAAACUCCCAGUCAUUUCUUGGGUGAAACACCAAGGUUUCUGCAUCACUGUGCCUUCUUCAGGGUAAUGUCAUGAAUGCUUGAACCAGGUUAUGAAGACAAACGGUGCAAUUAGUGUAACCAAUGACAAUAGUGAGGGGUGUGAAUGAAUUGAGUGAAACUGUUAAAUACAGUGCAUUCGGAAAGUAUUCAGAUCCCUUCCCUUUUUCCA
rnacentral:lncRNA from 1 species